UAGAGUUUGAUCAUGGCUCAGAUUGAACGCUGGCGGUAGGCCUAACACAUGCAAGUCGAGCGGUAACAGGAAUUAGCUUGCUAAUUCGCUGACGAGCGGCGGACGGGUGAGUAAUGCCUGGGAAUAUGCCUUAGUGUGGGGGAUAACUAUUGGAAACGAUAGCUAAUACCGCAUAAUGUCUACGGACCAAAGAGGGGGAUCUUCGGACCUCUCGCGCUAAGAUUAGCCCAGGUGAGAUUAGCUUGUUGGUGAGGUAAGAGCUCACCAAGGCGACGAUCUCUAGCUGGUCUGAGAGGAUGAUCAGCCACACUGGAACUGAGACACGGUCCAGACUCCUACGGGAGGCAGCAGUGGGGAAUAUUGCACAAUGGGCGAAAGCCUGAUGCAGCCAUGCCGCGUGUAUGAAGAAGGCCUUCGGGUUGUAAAGUACUUUCAGUCGUGAGGAAGGGUGUGUAGUUAAUAGCUGCGCAUCUUGACGUUAGCGACAGAAGAAGCACCGGCUAACUCCGUGCCAGCAGCCGCGGUAAUACGGAGGGUGCGAGCGUUAAUCGGAAUUACUGGGCGUAAAGCGCAUGCAGGUGGUUCAUUAAGUCAGAUGUGAAAGCCCGGGGCUCAACCUCGGAACCGCAUUUGAAACUGGUGAACUAGAGUGCUGUAGAGGGGGGUAGAAUUUCA
rnacentral:rRNA from 1 species